CCAAUAGCGUAUAUUAAGGUUGCUGCGGUUAAAAAGCUCGUAGUUGAAUUUCAGGAUUGAUACAUCGGUCGUGCCUUAAGGGGUAUGAACUGGCGUAGCCAACUCCUCACCUUCUGGUGAUUUGUGAUGCCUCCUUAACUGGGUGUUUCAAUGAAUUAGGACUUUUACUUUGAAAAAAUUAGUGUGUUUAAAGCAGGCAUUAUUUGCUUGAAUACAUUAGCAUGGAAUAAUAAAAUAGGACAAUGAUUCUAUUUUGUUGGUUUCUAGGAUCACCAUAAUGAUUAAUAGGAAUGAAUAGUUGGGGGCAGUAGUAUUCAAUUGUAAGAGGUGAAAUUCUUGGAUUAAUUGAAGACUAACUACUGUGAAAGCAUUUGCCAAGGAUGUUUUCAUUAAUCAAGAACAAAAGUUAGGGAUCGUAGUCUUAACCAUAAACUAUGCCAACUAGGAAUCAGACAACGUUAAAUUUUUAAUGACUCGUUUGGCACCUUAUGGGAAACCAAAGUGUUUGGNUUC
rnacentral:rRNA from 1 species